CCUACGGGAGGCAGCAGUAGGGAAUCUUCCGCAAUGGACGAAAGUCUGACGGAGCAACGCCGCGUGAGUGAUGAAGGCUUUCGGGCCGUAAAACUCUGUUGUUAGGGAAGAACAAGUACGAGAGUAACUGCUCGUACCUUGACGGUACCUAACCAGAAAGCCACGGCUAACUACGUGCCAGCAGCCGCGGUAAUACGUAGGUGGCAAGCGUUAUCCGGAAUUAUUGGGCGUAAAGCGCGCGCAGGCGGUUUCUUAAGUCUGAUGUGAAAGCCCACGGCUCAACCGUGGAGGGUCAUUGGAAACUGGGGAACUUGAGUGCAGAAGAGAAAAGCGGAAUUCCACGUGUAGCGGUGAAAUGCGUAGAGAUGUGGAGGAACACCAGUGGCGAAGGCGGCUUUUUGGUCUGUAACUGACGCUGAGGCGCGAAAGCGUGGGGAGCAAACAGGAUUAGAUACCCUGGUAGUCCACGCCGUAAACGAUGAGUGCUAAGUGUUAGAGGGUUUCCGCCCUUUAGUGCUGCAGCUAACGCAUUAAGCACUCCGCCUGGGGAGUACGGUCGCAAGACUGAAACUCAAAGGAAUUGACGG
rnacentral:rRNA from 1 species